ensembl:lncRNA
CAGAAAGGUAACACUGUACAGGAAACUGGGGAUAAGAUGGUGGAUCAGGUGGCAGAACAGGUAGUUGAAGAGGGCUUUAAUUCCAGACCGUCAACUUAAAAUUUCGGAACCUGAGUCAAAACCUGUAAAAUAUUUUAAAGAGGAUAGCAAUCUAAUUAAUGAUUUAGAAGGAAGAGAGCAGGCUGACAGAUGGACACGUUGUUUUGUCCUUUGGUAUUUUAUAGCAAUUGGUUCUAAGGGAGGGUAAGAAAAUGUAUUGGGCAAACAGACAUUACAAAGUACAAUCCUAGUACCAGGAAAGGGGUUCAAGUGGGCCUAUUAGGAAAGAGAACCUUCCAGGGCAACAGUGACAAAUUGAUUUCUUGAAACUCCCAAGAAAAGGGGGGUAUUGCUGUAUGUUGGUACUGAUACCUUUUUGGGAUGGCUAGAGGUAUUUCCCUGUAGGACUCCUAAGGCUCGGGAAGCAACGAAAAUGCUGUUACAUGCUGUUAAUUCCAAGGUUCGGGGCUCCUGUAGCAAUCUCAGCAGAUCGAGGCCCACAUUCUUGCCAAGGUGGUCCAAAAAAAUAAGCACAUUAUUGGGAAUUGAUUGGCAAUUGCACACACCUUAUAGACCGCAGUCGAGCGGACAGAUGGAAAAACGAAUCACCUGAUCAAAUUACAGAUAGGAAAACUUGGCCAAGAGGCUGGGAUUCCCUGGCCGCAGGCACUGCCUUUGGCACUUCUGAGAAUUCGGACUAAACCCCGAAGCAAGGAAGGAUGAAGCCCAGAGGAGAUUCUAUAUGGGCAACCUUAUCCUGUACAAAAGGAAAUCUCUAUGCAGGUGCGGGAGGAGGUGUUAAGAGAUGGUCAGCUUGGUGACGCAGUUAAAGAAAAUUGAACAAACAGGAUUCGAUGCCAGGGCACAAGGCCUAGACGCUCCAGUGCACCAUGUAUUGCCAGGCGACCGUGUUUACGUUCAAUCUCCCUCAGAUGUACCGCUGGAACCAAAGUGGGAAGGACCCUACCAACUUCUCCUCACCACCCACACCACGGCCAAGGUAGAGGAGCUUACACCGUGGAUACAUCAUACCUGCCUGAAGACCCCAGCUGGGAAGGAGAUUUAGGGAACUUGCUUACUAGCUGGCUACUGAAUCUAGGAUGGUUAAAGCAGCUCUUCCUAGUUUGCAUCCUCUUGGUGCUGUUGGGAGGUUUUACCUGUGUCAUGAUGAGAUGCUCUGCCUGCCUGUGCCGGAGUACUAGAAAGAAAAAGGAGAUAUGGAAGAGACAUGUGUUGAGGCCAAAGGUGGGAAGUGGGGCCUAUUUGGGGACACGUAGAACAGAAUCAAAAUGAUCUAGCAGGUAGAAGCCCUGCUAGACUAUAGAAAAGGGGGGAACUGAAGUGUGAGAACAGGAGCCUGCAGUUAGAGAGAGAAGGGCCUCACAGCAAGAAAAGGGAAAGUAGCUGCACAAACUAGAAAUAAGAGGCAAAUAGAGAGAGUUUACGUAGAGAGUGCUAGAAAACAAGGGAUUCCAAGCACUUUCACAGACACUAGGUCAGGAAUAACAGGGAGGAUGAAGGCCAUCGAGAUAAGGGCUGGAGAGCAGCUCGAAAACACGUGGCAGGGAGCUGAUUAGAUGUCUACAGGGCAAGCUGAAACCUUUUCGGGGGAUGCCCCCCCUUCGGGGUCACAAGUGUGCAAUGAGGAAGACUACGAGCCUUCGCGAGGAAGACUACAAGCCUUCAUCAUCACGACCUUCUACGCACUCGCAAAAGGGGAAGGGACUGCAUGCUAAUGGGCUCUCUGGAAUGUAAUGAAUAGGUCUCCGAAUUCC